GGCACAUGCAUACACAGCUCCACACAACACACAUGCACGCACACACUAAAUAAACAAAUGUAAUGAUUUAGGAAAAAAGACAAGCUACAGAGGAGCAGGUGUGGUUCUGUGCGCCUGCAAUUCCAGCACCCGGGAGGUAAAGACCGGGCAUCAGUUCCACAGGAAGUUUGAGACAAGUCCGGGCUAUUCAAGACCGUAAGAGCCAGCCUCCCUACAAAGGUCACCGUGGUUGCAGAGCUGAAAACAAACCAGAGAGCGACAGGAGCAGUCCUGGAGCAUCCAAGUGGACAGGGCUUCCAUGGCCCAACUGAGAGGACAACAGACCAGUGCUGGAGAACACACGCAGGAUGUGGGACAUGGGCUGGGGAAAAAGGGACGAGAGCGGGCUGGGAGUGAGGGGAGGGGGCGGACAUUACCCAAACCCCAAGGAAAUGCACCGACGGCUGUGGAAAAACUCAACUUUUAUUAUUACCUGCCUAGUGCAGGAGAUUAAAAUUGCCUCAAGCUAAGUCCAUA